AUACUUACCUGGCAGGGGAGAUACCAUGAUCACUAAGGUGGUUUUCCCAGGAUGAGGCUUGUCCAUUGCACAAAUAUCUACAGCAGGGGAACCCAGUGGUGGUGCACCUGGUUAAGUGCACACAUUACAAAUAUCUACAGCUUAUUAC
rnacentral:snRNA from 12 species